AGUGGAAGCGUCUGGAAAGGUGCGCGAUACAGGGUGACAGCCCCGUACACAAAAGCGCAUGUGCUGUGAGCUCGAUGAGUAGGGCGGGACACGUGGUAUCCUGUCUGAAUAUGGGGGGACCAUCCUCCAAGGCUAAAUACUCCUGACUGACCGAUAGUGAACCAGUACCGUGAGGGAAAGGCGAAAAGAACCCCGGCGAGGGGAGUGAAAAAGAACCUGAAACCGUGUACGUACAAGCAGUGGGAGCACCCUUCGGGGUGUGACUGCGUACCUUUUGUAUAAUGGGUCAGCGACUUAUAUUCUGUAGCAAGGUUAACCGUAUAGGGGAGCCGGAGGGAAA
rnacentral:rRNA from 1 species